CAAGUCGAGCGAGAACCAGGGCUUCGGCCCCGGGGACAGCGGCGAACGGGUGAGUAACACGUGGAUAACCUGCCCUCGGCACCGGGAUAGCCCGGGGAAACCCGGAUUAAUACCGGAUGGCCCUACCGGCUUUCGAGCCGGUCGGAAAAGGUAGCUUCGGCCUCCGGCCGAGGAUGGGUCCGCGGCGGAUUAGCUUGUUGGUGGGGUAACGGCCUACCAAGGCUCCGAUCCGUAGCUGGUCUGAGAGGACGAUCAGCCACACUGGGACUGAGACACGGCCCAGACUCCUACGGGAGGCAGCAGUGGGGAAUCUUGCACAAUGGGCGAAAGCCUGAUGCAGCGACGCCGCGUGAGGGAGGAAGGCCUUCGGGUUGUAAACCUCUUUCAGGAGGGACGAAGCUACUCGGGUUAACAGCCCAGAGGGUGACGGUACCUCCAGAAGAAGCCCCGGCUAACUACGUGCCAGCAGCCGCGGUAAUACGUAGGGGGCAAGCGUUGUCCGGAUUUACUGGGCGUAAAGAGCGUGUAGGCGGCCAAACAGGUCCGUUGUGAAAACUGGAGGCUCAACUUCCAGACGUCGACGGAAACCGUGUGGCUAGAGUCCGGAAGAGGAGAGUGGAAUUCCUGGUGUAGCGGUGAAAUGCGCAGAUAUCAGGAAGAACACCAAUGGCGAAGGCAGCUCUCUGGGACGGUACUGACGCUGAGACGCGAAAGCGUGGGGAGCGAACAGGAUUAGAUACCCUGGUAGUCCACGCCGUAAACGAUGGGUGCUAGGUGUGGGAGGUGUCGACUCCUUCCGUGCCGUAGCUAACGCAUUAAGCACCCCGCCUGGGGAGUACGGCCGCAAGGCUAAAACUCAAAGGAAUUGACGGGGCCCCGCACAAGCAGCGGA
rnacentral:rRNA from 1 species